rnacentral:rRNA from 1 species
AUUGAACGCUGGCGGCAGGCUUAACACAUGCAAGUCGAGCGGAGAUGAGGUGCUUGCACCUUAUCUUAGCGGCGGACGGGUGGGUAAUGCUUAGGAAUCUGCCUAUUAGUGGGGGACAACAUUCCGAAAGGAAUGCUAAUACCGCAUACGUCCUACGGGAGAAAGCAGGGGAGCUUCGGACCUUGCGCUAAUAGAUGAGCCUAAGUCGGAUUAGCUAGUUGGUGGGGUAAAGGCCUACCAAGGCGACGAUCUGUAGCGGGUCUGAGAGGAUGAUCCGCCACACUGGGACUGAGACACGGCCCAGACUCCUACGGGAGGCAGCAGUGGGGAAUAUUGGACAAUGGGCGGAAGCCUGAUCCAGCCAUGCCGCGUGUGUGAAGAAGGCCUUUUGGUUGUAAAGCACUUUAAGCGAGGAGGAGGCUACCUAGAUUAAUACUCUGGGAUAGUGGACGUUACUCGCAGAAUAAGCACCGGCUAACUCUGUGCCAGCAGCCGCGGUAAAAC